rnacentral:tRNA from 1 species
UGGCACAAUGGUUAAGCAUUCGGCUGCUAACUGAAAGAAUGGUGGUUCAAAACCACC